AAAGCUCUUUCGGGUGGGACGAUGAUGACGGUACCACCAGAAGAAGCCCCGGCUAACUUCGUGCCAGCAGCCGCGGUAAUACGAAGGGGGCUAGCGUUGUUCGGAAUUACUGGGCGUAAAGCGCACGCAGGCGGCUCGAUAAAUUAGAAGUGAAAGCCUUGGGCUUAACCUGAGAAUUGCUUUUAAGACUGUCGAGCUAGAAUCCAGAAGAGGGUAGUGGAAUUCCGAGUGUAGAGGUGAAAUUCGUAUAUAUUCGGAAGAACACCAGUGGCGAAGGCGACUACCUGGUCUGGCAUUGACGCUCAUGUGCGAAAGCGUGGGGAGCAAACAGGAUUAGAUACCCUGGUAGUCCACGCCGUAAACGAUGGGUGCUAGUUGUUGGGGUCCAUAGGACUUC
rnacentral:rRNA from 1 species